rnacentral:rRNA from 1 species
GACGAACCGUGCGAACGUUGUUCGGAUUCACUGGGCUUAAAGGGCGCGUAGGCGGCUUGCCAAGUCAGGGGUGAAAUCUUUCGGCUUAACCGGAAAAGUGCUUCUGAUACUGGCAGGCUGGAGGGAGGUAGGGGCAGAUGGAACUUCCGGUGGAGCGGUGAAAUGCGUAGAUAUCGGAAGGAACGCCGGUGGCGAAAGCGAUCUGCUGGGCCGACACUGACACUGAGAGACGAAAGCUAGGGGAGCGAAUGGG